AGUGAACGCUGGCGGUAGGCCUAACACAUGCAAGUCGAACGGCAGCACAGUAAGAGCUUGCUCUUACGGGUGGCGAGUGGCGGACGGGUGAGGAAUACAUCGGAAUCUACUUUUUCGUGGGGGAUAACGUAGGGAAACUUACGCUAAUACCGCAUACGACCUACGGGUGAAAGCAGGGGAUCUUCGGACCUUGCGCGAUUGAAUGAGCCGAUGUCGGAUUAGCUAGUUGGCGGGGUAAAGGCCCACCAAGGCGACGAUCCGUAGCUGGUCUGAGAGGAUGAUCAGCCACACUGGAACUGAAACACGGUCCAGACUCCUAAGGGAGGCCGCAGUGGGGAAUAUUGGACAAUGGGCGCUAGCCUGAUCCAGCCCUACCGCGUGGGUGAAGAAGGCCUUCGGGUUGUAAAGCCCUUUUGUUGGGAAAGAAAAGCAGCAGGUUAAUACCCCGCUGUUCUGACGGUACCCAAAGAAUAAGCACCGGCUAACUUCGUG
rnacentral:rRNA from 1 species